ensembl:lncRNA
CAGGUCGGUUCUCAGCAUGCUGACCCCAGGUCGGUUCUCUGCAGACUGACCCCAGGUCUGUUCUCUGCAGACUGACCCCAGGUCUGUUCUCACUGGAGCUUCCUUGAGGUUUUGUCAGUUCAGAUGAGUUGGAUCAGGCUGCAUUUCCCCUGGUUAGUGUCGCAGUUCACCCUGUCACGUUCACCCUCUAACGUAGAGAUCCUAACGUUCACCCUGACCCAGGCUGCAGGCCGGGUCCAGGGGCUUUAAGACUGGUCCCGGGGCUGUAGGCCGUGUCCGGGGGCUUUAGGCUGUGGCGGUCUUAACAUAGAGGCAUAGGUAGGACGCUACAUUGGGCCCCCAACCAACCAAAUAAAAAACAUUCCAUUAU